rnacentral:tRNA from 1 species
CUUAGCUCAGUUGGUAGAGCAAUUGACUCUUAAUCAAUGGGUCCAGGGUUCGAGUCCCUGA